AAUGUUUCGAAGGAUUGUUUUCGACUUUCAAAAGUAGUGAAAACAAAAUCUGCACGGUGUGAUACGAAUUCGAGUUUGAGUAACUGUAGUUCGUUCGUUUUUCCCUAUAAUUAAUUCUUACGCUUCUCGCCUGAUCAAAAAAUGCACUCAUGUUUAGAUACUGCUAAUUAUUUAUUUGGUUCUGUAAUAUUGAUUAUGGUGACCCUGCUGAAAAAAAUGCAUAAUCAUAAUCUAUGACAUGUGUAUGGUUCGCUAGAGCGCAUGUUCAACUUCAGCCAAAAUCGAUAUUUUCAGUAAACGAACUGCGAAGCCACCAUUUUCGUGAGGACUGUACUAGUGAUAACAUCGUGUUUGCUGGUUAGAUUCAAGUUGAAGGUUUAUUCAAGGAAAGUAUAAAAACGGAAGGGUUCUUAUCUUCGCAAAUCAUGUCUCAUAUAAAUUAACUAAUUAUUUUUUUCAGAAUUUUAAAAACAUAAUUCUUAAUCUUUAUAAUUGAAAUGGUAUUCUUCCUAGUGUAUGAGAAUUUGCGUGCCAGUGUGUUGUAUCGAUUUUUUGUUUCAUAACCUUGCCAUUUUAUUCCGCCAUGAUUCUAAUAACAUGUAUUUUCAUCUACUUGCAAACAAAUAGCAAAGUUCUUUUGCCUGCUGGCUACCGCUGCAGAAACGCAUCCAUAUGGAUGAAACCGGAUGGACAAUUCUGCGCAUUCUUUCGCAAAGAAACAAUGAUGAGAUUGCGAAGGAAUUCGUGAAACUCAAGUCGGAGGCACGGCAGGAGAUAGCGUCUCAGGGCUAGAAAAGUUAAACACAUGUGUUGCGUGGACCGAAUCGUUGAAAAUGAAUUGUAUUAUUAAUAAAUCAUUAUUAUAUUGCUAUUAUUACAAUAUUAUCAUUAUCACAUAUUAUAGUUUUGUUUCAUUGUAAUACUUUUUUGUAAAUAAUCAUCGAUAUCUAUGAAAAUUUGUUAAA